UCUGGGUGCAGUGGUGUGUGCCUGUAGUCACAGCUACUCGAGAGGCUGGGACAGGAGGAUCACUUGGGCCCAGGAGUUCCAGACUAUAGUACAUUAUGCUGAUUGGGUGUCUGCAUCAAUAUAGUGACCUCCCAGGAGUGGGGGACCACCAGCUUGCCUUAGGAAGUGUGAACCCCCUCAGGUUGGGAACAGAGCAGGUCAGAACUCCUGUGCUGAUCAAUAGUGGGAUUGUCCCUGUAAAUAGCCACUGUACGCCAGCCUAGGCAACAGCAAGACCUUGUCUCUA
rfam:Nomascus leucogenys chromosome 7b, whole genome shotgun sequence.